rnacentral:misc_RNA from 1 species
GAUGAAGAACGCAGCGAAAUGCGAUACGUAAUGUGAAUUGCAGAAUUCAGUGAAUCAUCGAGUCUUUGAACGCACAUUGCGCCCCCUGGUAUUCCGGGGGGCAUGCCUGUCCGAGCGUCAUUGCUGCCCUCAAGCACGGCUUGUGUGUUGGGCCUCCGUCCUCCUCCCGGGGGACGGGCCCGAAAGGCAGCGGCGGCACCGCGUCCGGUCCUCGAGCGUAUGGGGCUUCGUCACCCGCUCUUGUAGGACCGGCCGGCGCUUGCCGACACAUCAAUCUUUUUUCCAGGUUGACCUCGGAUCAGGUAGGGAUACCCGCUGAACUUAAGCAUAUCAAUAAGCGGAGGA